rnacentral:rRNA from 1 species
CACAGUGUAGCAAUACAUGGGUGGCGACCGGCAAACGGGUGCGGAACACGUACGCAACCUUCCUUCAGGCGGGGAAUAGCCCAGAGAAAUUUGGAUUAAUACCCCAUAAUAUUUUGAGAUGGCAUCAUCUUAUUAUUAAAGCUACGGCACCUGGGGAUGGGCGUGCGGCUGAUUAGGUAGUUGGCGGGGUAAUGGCCCACCAAGCCUACGAUCAGUAGCUGAUGUGAGAGCAUGAUCAGCCACACGGGCACUGAGACACGGGCCCGACUCCUACGGGAGGCAGCAGUAAGGAAUAUUGGUCAAUGGACGCAAGUCUGAACCAGCCAUGCCGCGUGGAGGAUGAAGGUCCUCUGGAUUGUAAACUUCUUUUAUCUGGGACGAAAAAAGGGUUUUCUAACUCGUCUGACGGUACCAGAUGAAUAAGCACCGGCUAACUCCGUGCCAGCAGCCGCGGUAAUACGGAGGGUGCAAGCGUUAUCCGGAUUCACUGGGUUUAAAGGGUGCGUAGGCGGGCAUUUAAGUCAGUGGUGAAAUACCUGAGCUUAACUUGGGAACUGCCAUUGAUACUAUUUGUCUUGAAUGUCGUGGAGGUUAGCGGAAUAUGUCAUGUAGCGGUGAAAUGCUUAGAUAUGACAUAGAACACCUAUUGCGAAGGCAGCUAACUACGCGAAUAUUGACGCUGAGGCACGAAUGCGUGGGGAUCAAACAGGAUUAGAUACCCUGGUAGUCCACGCCCUAAACGAUGAUUACUCGACAUUAGCGAUACACUGUUAGUGUCUGAGCG